CGUGCGGCUAGUGCCACCCUUGCCAGGCACUCAAUUGGACAUCCUCCAAAACUUGGUGGCUAAUACACGUCUGCCCCGGUCUGCCAUGACAUACCUGCAUGGGACAGCUGGCCCUCGGGCCAAGUCCCCGGAUGGUGGAUUGCACCCAGCCGCUGCGAAGACCAGCGCCAGGGAAUGGCAGUGUUGUCUGGCUGACUCAGGCUGGUCCCUCUGGGACGGUUGUGCUGGCAGAGUGGUGGCCUCGGCCACAAAGGCACUGCUUGAUCACACGAACUUCUGACCUAUCAGCCUGGACUGUGGUGUAGUGGACCACAGUGGCGUUCACGGGUAACGGAGAAUUUGGGUUUGAUUCCGGAGAGGGAGCCUGAGAGACGGCUACCACUGCCAAGGCGGGCAGCAGGCGCGCAAAUUGCCCAAUACCAAAGCAGUCGGUGAGGCAGCAACGAUCAGCAGCAAUUCCGCCAGCACUUGUUGCUGGUGGAACUUGGAAUGGAUGCUAUCCAAACAUCGCUAUGAGUACCAACUGGAGGGCAAGUCUGGUGCCAGCAGCUGCGGUAAUUCCAGCUCCAGUGGCGUAUACUAACAUUGCUGCGGUUGAAACGUUUGUAGUCUGCCUCUGGGUGACUGGUCUGACAGGCGGUCCAGAGCGGUGGGGCAACCCAUCCUCGGGCCACAAACACCUGGCAGUAUGUCCAGCACCCGCUCUCGGAUGGCCUGAGCAGCUCUUGCGCGAAGCCCCCUUCAGUGGGGGUUGAGGCAGUUGGUGCACCCAACACCUGCAUGGACAGCACGGGUGUGUGGCCCCGCGUCGCACAAGUUCCACCCGGUCCGCUACCAGAGCCAGGCCAUCGCUGACACUAUGGAAAACUCAGUGUGCUCAACGCAUCCAGUCUUGGCUGAAUGCCUGUCCAUGGAAUGUCACAGCAUCGACCGAACGGGCCGUGGAGUUGUGCUGGCCUUGGUGCCUGUUCAGGGCAAACGGGUGCCGUCCCGCUGGCUCCGGGCAAGGGCCGUCGGGUCUCCGCCUUGGGGUUCGCCCCUCGGCGCCCCUGGAUUCCUGCCCAGCCUUUGGUGGCGGCAUCUACCGGACAUGAUGGGAUCGCUCAGGGUGAAAGGUACUGCAGCGCCAGAGGUGAAAUUCUUAGACCGCUGCAAGACCAACAGCGGCGCAGGCGUUCUGCAAGGGCGUGUCCGUCGAUCAAGAGCGAGAGCCUGGGGAUCGAAGAUGAUCAGACACCGUCGUAGUCCAGGGCCGUAAACCAUGUCAGCUCGGCGACAGCUGGGUAAUCAUCCAGACCCAUGCUGCUGCCAUCACCCCCUACAUCGAGAAAUCCAAGCCUUUGGAUUCCGGGGGGAGUACUGUUGCAAGGCUGAAACUUAAAGGAAUUGACGGAAUGGCACCACAAGGCGUGGAGUAUGCGGCUUAAUUUGACUCAACACGGGGAACGUUACCAGGUCAGGACGAUGUCGGGAUGGACAGAUUGAGAGCUCUUUCUUGAUCCGUCGGAUGGUGGUGCAUGGCCGCUCCUGAUCGGUGGAGUGAUUUGUCUGGUUGAUUCCGAUAACGGGUGAGACCUCUGCCUCCCACUAGCCCCUGGGCCGUACCUGUAGGACUGGCCGUGGGCCGGUCGCUCCUCGCGGGCGGCCCGCAAGCACCUCCUCGCGGGGUGGACCCACGAUUCAACCGUCCGAGGUCCAGGGUUCGCUUCUCUGAGGUGCUGUGUCCGUUCCAAAGGACAUGCAUGCUAGAGCCAACAGCAGGUCUGUGAUGCUCCCAGAUGUCCUGGGCCGCACGCGCACUACAUUGACUCAGUGAGGGUGUGACCUCCGUCUCGCACGGAGCCUGCACAGAAGUGUGUGGGAAAUCCUGCAAGCCUGAGCUGUACUGGGGAUAGAUGAUUGCAACUGUCUGCCUUGAACGAGGAAUGCCUAGUAUGC
rnacentral:rRNA from 1 species